UCAAAUUAGUUAUCAUAGAGACCAUCAUCAUGAUCAUAACCUUAAUGUUAUACAUCACCAUUAUCAUGAAUUUGAUUAUGAUUCAUUAUGAAAAAUGCAACUAUAAAAAACAUAUUCCUUAUUUUAAUGUUCCAAAUUCUCACUAUAAUGUCCAAUAACUUAUUGAUUAAAAUAACAGAUAAUGAAAAAGAAAUGUUUGCUAAGGGCAGGACUUGUGUAAACCUUUUUACAUAGUUGCACUGCUGUCGUCAGUACAGUAGAACCUACACACAGUUAUCAUGUUUUCAAACUUUAUUGACUACUGGAGAUCCUUUAAUAUAAUCAAAUUUCUUGUAUACAUAGGUAUAAUCAAUUAUUAUUAUUAUUAAAACAAAGUAGACAUUUCUUUAAAAAUACCUUGACUGUUCUGGAACCCAUCUUUCUGUUAAAAACAAAAAAAAGGUGUUACAUAUAUAAAAAAACCUCUUUCCAAAUGGAUUAAAAAUUUUAUUAACGAGCAAAAUCAGUUUUGUUCCCGAAGGAAUCUGUUCUUUUCAUGUUGGACAAAUAACCCUUCUCAGGUCUAUUUCUUAUCAUUCUAGGUUUGAUUCCAGUUUCUGAGGAUAAAGAAGGAUACCUGAAGUUCAAAGUUUUGUCAUGGAAAACUGUCAUGGCAUAUCUGGCAUUUGGUAUUUUACCCACCAUUUGCCUAGUUUAUACCCAUAUACAAGUUUCUGAUGAAAUAUCUUCAGGACACCAGACAAAUUUAAUGGCAAAGAUUGCUGGUUACUUUAACAGCAUUCAAAAUAUUGUAGUUUCGUUGUUGUGUCCAAUUUUUACAGCCCACUUACUGGACAAGUCUCAAGUAUCACUGAGCAGAAAGAAACUAGCCAAAAAGCAUUGGCUACUGUUGUAUGUCAUCAUGUUUGCAGUUGUAACUGUUAUAAAUGUUUCCAAUUCCUCCAAUAAUUUAUCACUUCAAAUUUUAAUUUUAACCUCCUAUUUGUUAAAUGUAAUAAUAAUUACUGUGAACAUGCUAGUAAUUAGCUUUGUUUGUUCACCAAUCAUAGAAGAGGGAACCAACAUACAGAUAUCUGAUGUUCAUGAAAUGAUUAAAAGGUCUGUUACCCAUGUUGAGAAAACAAGAAGAAUAAAAAGGGGAUUCAGUCCUCUACUCUUCACCAUACUUUCUUUUACGACAAUAUACAUGCUUUACAUUACUUUUAUUGGCAUAAGAGGUGUAGCUAAGGGAGAGUACCAGUAUUUAGUACCAGAUGUGCUAAGUGUCUUGAAUAUGCUUCUACUUAUCUACUACAUUAUAAGCUUCUGUGAUGAAUCUCAUCAAACUCUGUCAUCAUUUAGUCACAAUCUGAGGUACAUAUUAUGAGCAUAAUUUUUAACCAUUUUACCUGAGCACUCAAGGAUUUUUCAGGUUUUUUUGUGUUAAAAUUCUUUCUUAAAAGACAAAAGUUGAUCAUUUUAUGACAUUCUUUAUAUCUAAUUUUUCAAUUUUUUUUUAAGAAAAUUAUGUUGUUUUACAUAAGAAACUUCAAAACAUUAAAAUCUCAGGAAAGCAGUUGGUGAUCCAACUCUGUCAAACCUAUUGAGAAAACUAUUUAUAAAUUUAGAAUUUAAGUUGGAAAUGAAACAUAUUUAGUUUGAUGGCUUUAGAUUGUGAUGAAUUUGAUAUGAUUAGAAUCCAAAUAGUCAUCAACAUGCUAGACAAAGAGGACCCAUUCGAUGCUUUUGGGCUCUUUUAUGUGGAGAAGACAACCUUUAUGACCAUAGUCAGCAGUUCCAUUGCUUAUUUGGUUAUUAUGCUCCAGUUUAAUUGAAAUUCUUGUUGCAGACCAAGUAGCUGUUACCAAUUAUUCACAUGUUAAAUUAAAAUAUAUAUAUAUAAAUUUCA